ensembl:lncRNA
AUGGUUGUUGAGGACACUGCUGCUGUUGUUGUUGCUGUUGGGGAGGAUUCUGCUGUUGUAACUGUAGCUUGUGGUGCUGUUUUGGUAGCUCCUGUAGUAGUAGUGGAUGUUUCAGCAAGAGUUGCAAUGGUUGUUGAGGGCACUGCUGCUGUUGUUGAUGCUGUUGUGGAGGAUUCUGGUGUUGUAACAGUAGUUUGUAGUGCUGUAGUGGUAACUCCUGCAGUAGUAGUGGAUGUUUCAGCAAGAGUUGCAAUGGUUGUUGAGGGCACUGUUGUUGUUGUUGUUGUAGAUGCUGUGGAGGAUUCUGCUGUUGUAACUGUAGCUUGUGGUGCUGUUUUGGUAAAUCCUGCAGUAGUAGUGGAUGCUUCAGCAAAAGUUGUAGUGGUAGUGGUUGUUGAGGGCACUGAUGGUGUUGUAGCUGUUGUGGAGUAUUCAGCUGUUGUAACAGUAGCGUGUGGUGCUGUUUUGGGAACUCCGGCAGUAGUAGUGGAUGAUUUAGCAAGAGCUGUAAUUGUUGUUGAAGGCACUGUUGUUGUUGUUGUCGAUGUUGUGGUGGAUUCUGCUGUUGUAACAGUAGGUUGUGGUGCUGUUGUGGUAGCUCGUGGAGUAGUGGUGGAUGCUUCGGUUAGAGUGGUAAUGGUUGUUGAGGGAACUGUUGUUGGUGUGGCUGUUGUGGAGGAUUCAGCUGUUGUAGCAGUAGUUUGUGGUGCUGUCGUGGAAACUCCUGUAGUAGUCGUGGAUGAUUCAGCAAGAGCUGUAAUGGUUGUUGAGGGCACUGCUGUUGUUGCUGUUGUGGAGGAUUCUGCUGUUGUAACAGUAGUUUGUGGUGCUGUUGUGGUAACUCCUGCAAUAGUGGUGGAUGAUUCAGCAAGAGUUGUAAUGGUUGUUGAGGGCACUGUUGUUGUUGUUGUAGAUGUUGUGGAGGAUUCUGCUGUUGUAUCAGUAGUUUGUGGGGCUGUUGUGGUAACUCCUGCAGUAGUAGUGGUUGAUUCAGCAAGAGUUGUAGUGGUUGUUGAAGGAACUGCUGUUGUUGUAGCUGUUGUGGAGGAUUCAGCUGUUGUAACAGUAGUUUGUCGUGCUGUUGUGGUAACUCCUGCAGUAGUAGUGGAUGUUUCAGCAAUAGUUGUAGUGGUUGUUGAAGGAUCUGCUGUUGUUGUAGCUGUUGUGGAGGAUUCAGCUGUUGUAAAAGUAGUUUGUGGUGCUGUCGUGGUAACUCCUGCAGUAGUAGUGGAUGAUUCAGCAAGAGUUGUAGUGGUUGUUGAAGACGUCAUUGUAGCUGUGGGUGUUGCAGAGGUGUCGGUUGUUGAAUCUACUGUGGACUGAGUUGUUGAACUUUGCGCGUGGACUGUUGCUAGAGAAGACAAAAAGUUGGUGUGCUGUUAAAGUACAUAUUUUGAACAUAUAUAUAUUAUGUCUAAGUGAAUUGGGGUAUUAUUAUUGUUGUUCUUGUAUAAUUUGUUUUAACAUUUGUUUCACUUACCAAUAAAAAUGCACAUUAUAAUAAAAGCUUUUCCCUC